UGCUACCCUUCAGGAGACCCGACGAGACGCGCCGUACCGGGCCGAGAAAAGACGACGCACC
rnacentral:ncRNA from 1 species